GCUCAGAUUGAACGCUGGCGUCAGGCCUAACACAUGCAAGUCGAGCGGAUGAAGGGAGCUUGCUCCCUGAUUCAGCGGCGGACGGGUGAGUAAUGCCUAGGAAUCUGCCUGGUAGUGGGGGACAACGUCUCGAAAGGGACGCUAAUACCGCAUACGUCCUACGGGAGAAAGCAGGGGACCUUCGGGCCUUGCGCUAUCAGAUGAGCCUAGGUCGGAUUAGCUAGUUGGUGAGGUAAUGGCUCACCAAGGCGACGAUCCGUAACUGGUCUGAGAGGAUGAUCAGUCACACUGGAACUGAGACACGGUCCAGACUCCUACGGGAGGCAGCAGUGGGGAAUAUUGGACAAUGGGCGAAAGCCUGAUCCAGCCAUGCCGCGUGUGUGAAGAAGGUCUUCGGAUUGUAAAGCACUUUAAGUUGGGAGGAAGGGCAUUAACCUAAUACGUUGGUGUUUGACGUUACCGACAGAAUAAGCACCGGC
rnacentral:rRNA from 1 species